UACAGAGGUCUCAAGCGUUGUUCGGAAUCACUGGGCUUAAAGGGCGCGUAGGCGGGCCAGCAAGUCAGGGGUGAAAUCCCACGGCUCAACCGUGGAAGAGCCUUUGAUACUGCGGGCCUCGAGGGAGGUAGGGGCGUGCGGAACUUCCGGUGGAGCGGUGAAAUGCGUAGAUAUCGGAAGGAACAUCGGUGGCGAAAGCGGCGCGCUGGACCUCUUCUGACGCUGAGGCGCGAAAGCCAGGGGAGCCAAAGCGGG
rnacentral:rRNA from 1 species